rnacentral:pre_miRNA from 1 species
UGGACAAAUUAUUGUAUUCGACUGUAUUCACGACGUGAAAUAGGAGAUUACAUUAUUUUUAAAACGGAAAGUGAAUCAAUUAACAUAAUAGACUCCU